rnacentral:rRNA from 1 species
GGGAAAGAUUUAUCGCUGAAGGAGCGGCCCGCGUCUGAUUAGCUAGUUGGUGAGGUAAUGGCUCACCAAGGCGACGAUCAGUAGCUGGUCUGAGAGGAUGAUCAGCCACACUGGGACUGAGACACGGCCCAGACUCCUACGGGAGGCAGCAGUGGGGAAUAUUGGACAAUGGGGGCAACCCUGAUCCAGCCAUGCCGCGUGAGUGAUGAAGGCCUUAGGGUUGUAAAACUCUUUUGUCCGGGAAGAUAAUGACUGUACCGGAAGAAUAAGCCCCGGCUAACUUCGUGCCAGCAGCCGCGGUAAUACGAAGGGGGCUAGCGUUGUUCGGAAUCACUGGGCGUAAAGCGCACGUAGGCGGAUUGUUAAGUCAGAGGUGAAAUCCCGGAGCUCAACUUCGGAACUGCCUUUGAUACUGGCAAUCUUGAGUCUGGAAGAGGUUAGUGGAACUGCGAGUGUAGAGGUGAAAUUCGUAGAUAUUCGCA